rnacentral:rRNA from 1 species
UUAACAAAAACAUGUCUUUUUGAGUUAUUUUUAAAGUCUGACCUGCCCACUGAAAUUUUUAAAUGGCCGCAGUAUUCUAACUGUGCAAAGGUAGCAUAAUCAUUAGUCUUUUAAUUGAAGGCUGGUAUGAACGGUUGGACGAGGUAUAAGCUGUUUCAUAUAAAUUUAUAAUAGAAUUUUAUAUUUUAGUCAAAAAGCUAAAAUAUUAUUAAAAGACGAGAAGACCCUAUAAAUCUUUAUAUUUUUUUUUAUUUAAAUUUUUUGGAUUUAUUUUAUUUUUAUAAUGGAGAAUAUUUUGUUGGGGUGAUGUUAAAAUUUAAUGAACUUUUAAUUAUAAAAAUCAUUAAUUUAUGAGUUAUUGAUCCAUUAGUAGUGAUUAUAAGAUUAAGUUACUUUAGGGAUAACAGCGUAAUUUUUUUGGAGAGUUCAUAUCGAUAAAAAAGUUUGCGACCUCGAUGUUGGAUUAAGAUAUAAUUUUAGGUGUAGCCGCUUAAAUGCUAAGUCUGUUCGACUUUUAAAUUCUUACGUGAUCUGAGUUC